rnacentral:rRNA from 1 species
GUAAUGUUGGGCACUCUAAUGAGACUGCCCGGGUCAACCGGGAGGAAGGUGGGGAUGACGUCAAGUCAUCAUGGCCCUUACGCCUAGGGCUACACACGUACUACAAUGGCAGAUACAAAGGGCAGCGAAGCCGCGAGGCCAAGCCAAUCCCAAAAAAAUCUGUCUCAGUCCGGAUUGCAGUCUGCAACUCGACUGCAUGAAGCUGGAAUCGCUAGUAAUCCCGGAUCAGCAUGCCGGGUGAAUACGUUCCCGGGCCUU